rnacentral:rRNA from 1 species
AUUGAACGCUGGCGGCAGGCCUAACACAUGCAAGUCGAGCGAGCGGCGGACGGGUGAGUAAUGUCUGGGAAACUGCCUGAUGGAGGGGGAUAACUCCUGGAAACGGUAGCUAAUACCGCAUACCAUCAGAUGUGCCCAGAUGGGAUUAGCUAGUAGGUGGGGUAAUGGCGCACCGAGGCGACGAUCCCUAGCUGGUCUGAGAGGAUGACCAGCAACACGGGAACUGUGACACGGGCCAGACUCCUACGGGAGGCAGCAGUGGGGAAGAUUGCACAAUGGGCGCAAGUCGGAUGCAGCCAUGCCGCGUGUGUGAAGAAGGCCUUCGGGUUGUAAAGCACUUUCAGCGGUGAGGCGUUACCCGCAGAAGAAGCACCGGCUAACUCCGUGCCAGCAGCCGCGGUAAUUC